rnacentral:sRNA from 1 species
GGCGAGCGUUUGGGGGUCCUCAGAGCCCUCUUCUUUAAGGUCAUCAAGGAUUACCCUUCCAACGAAGACCUUCACGAAAGGCUGGAGGUUUUCAAGGCCCUCACAGACAAUGGGAGACACAUCACCUACUUGGAGGAAGAGCUGGCUGACUUUGUCCUGCAGUGGAUGGAUGUUGGCUUGUCCUCGGAAUUCCUUCUGGUGCUGGUGAACUUGGUCAAAUUCAAUAGCUGUUACCUGGACGAGUACAUCGCAAGGAUGGUUCAGUAAGAAAAGAAUUGAGAUCCUGUUCUGAUAAUGGUCCUAAGUUCAGCUCCGCAGUGAAUAAAUUGAAACCACCAAAAAAAUAGAGGUUGGGCUGGGCACAAUGGCUCACGCCUGUAAUCUCAGCACUUUGGGAGGCCGAGGCAGGCGGAUCACGAGGUCAGGAGUUCGAGACCAGCCUGGCCAACAUGGUGAAACCCUGUCUCUACUAAAAAUACAAAAAUUAGCCGGGCAUGGUGGUGGGAGCCUGUAAUCCCAGCCACUCAGGAGGCUGAGGCAGGAGAAUUGCUUGAAACCGGAAGGCAGAGGUUGCAGUGAGCGGAGAUCGUGCCACUGCACUUCAGCCUGGGUGAAAGAGCAAAACUCCAUCUCAA